UUUUGGGAGCUUUCCCUUCCGUGUCACGGCAAACUUUUGGCAAGCUCACUGGCUCUUUCUCUCAGUUACAUCUUCAUCCCACUUGGUCACAAGGGAAGUUUGAGACUGCUUGUAAGCACAAAGCGAGCUGUUUGACCACAUGUUAACACGUGUUUUGUUUACUACACACAUUUCACACAUUUCUAAAUGAGAGCAUGGCAGAAAACAGAAGUAUAAAGUCAAGAUCUAACAAAUCCAUCCAGACUUAUUUUAUUGCAAACAUGAAUACGAAUUUUUCAACAAAAAUUUAAAAUCUGGGACAAAUGCUCUAUUGGACAAGAUGUCAGGAAAUAGUGCAUACAUUCUUUUGUGUGACAUGCUUCUGUGAGCCUGACACCUUCAGAAUUCGCCAGACAAGAAGUGGAAAAUCUAGAGCCAACAUAUCUAAACUCCAGAGAGGUUUUCAACUGCCAAGAAGGCAUGAGUGUUGAUAUUCACUAAAUAGGCCACUGAAGAAUGUCAAUAUAUGUGACAGAUUAAAGAUGGCUACAAUUCUUUGAUACUCUUCUCAUUGAGAGGUAAGGUCUGUGUCCCUUCUCCUUGAAUCUGAGUGGACUCAUAACCUACUUUGACCUAUAGAAUAUGGCACAAGUUCCAAUAUUUGUGCCAGUUUGUAGAAAGGGCAUUAGUAGACUUGCCACUUCCGCCUCCUAUGUCUUGGAAUGCUUGAUCUGGGGAAAGUUGGCUGCCCUGUAAGCAAGCUAACUAAUGAGACUGCCAUGCCAUGAGAAAGCCCAAGGUAGACACACACAGACAGAGAUCCUCAAAUAGCUACCACGAUUGUAGCCCUCUCAAUCCAGGCAUCAGGCCUGUGAAUGAGAAAACAUUCCUAUGACUCCGUCCUCACCUACUAUUUGACUGCAACUGCAUAAGAGAUGCCAAAGGAGAACCACUCAGAUGAGCCAACAGAACAAUGAAAAAAAAAUUGUUUUAAUACUCAACAUUUAUUGAGCACUUAAGUAUGUGCCAGGUACUUUUCAAAACAUAUUCACAUGAAUCAACUCAUUUAAGUAUCAAAACCACUCAAGUAAUUAUCCUUAUUUGACUAAGGAGGAAACUGAGCAGCAAUGAGAUUAAAUAAUGUUUAAAGUCACACACUAUUAAGUGAUAGAUGACUCUAGAGGCCCUGGACCACCACUGUGCUAACCUACCUCUAGGAAGUAAGUGAGGCACUAUACUGUCAUCUUACAUCUCUCAGUUCAUAGGCCCCAUUUACAAUAUUGUGUGUGUGUGUGUGUUUGCCUGCAUAAUAAUUUAUGCCAACAUCCAUUAAACUCAUCAAGUAUAUUUUCAGCUUCAUCAUAUCAGAUGGCAAAAUGUACAUAUACUAUUGACAGUAUAAAAAAGAUUAAAUUUGAUAGUAAAAUCAAUAUCAUUAAUAAAGAAUAUAUCUAUAUCAUAUACAUAUAAUUCAAUUACUUAUAUAGUACCACACAUGCUUCUUCCCUCAAAAGAGAAAAACAAAGAAAUACUAAUUCUUGAAUGAGAAUCACUCGUAUGUAAUCUCCCGGCAUACAAUGUUGCCAGCACAAAUCAUGUAGCGUUAAGAGUGGUCUGUUCUUGAAAGUUUUAUAGGCAGGAGUAGUUCGGAAUUCCCAAAGAGGGAGUCAUGUUAAUACAAGGAAUAUACAAAUCACUUUUUAAAUUAAAAGUGUUAAUUCUGCUUUUAUACACCUUAUAUCCUCAGUGUUUCUACCCUUACUCUAUUUUUAUAAUUUCCAUAGCUUCUUUUCUAUCUUUAACUUAUUUUUACAUUAUAAUACAAAGAUCAAUUUGUACUCUAAGGAAGCCAUUUCUUGCCAAUCAGGCUUCUGGUAGGAGAAAUGACUGAUUUAGUUUUGUUAUAUGCACAAAACCAGCAACAUUCCAUACAAGUAAGGAGAUCAGCAGCAACAACUGGAUUGUGCCCCCAGCAGUAUCAUACUAAACAUUUGUGUUUCUGUGCCAAAAAUUCAGGAAUAAGACCAACAAGCUUAAAUAUACAUCACAUUAUAUUAAUUGAAAAAGUCUUCUCAUCUGUCCUCUCCAAUAUCAACUUAUUUGCUGUGGCCCAAGGUGAACUUUUAAUUGUACAAAAUUUGAAAAUUGAUCUAGAAAUAGUGGAAAGGCAUCCUUGCUUUGUAAAACAUUUCAUUUUAUUCUACUCCUCGCCAACUUUAAAAACCAUUCUGGAACUUCUUUCAAAAUAUUCCUUACCACUGUUUCUAAUCUUUCUCACCCUCUUAUCUCCUUGAUACCAUCUUUUUCUUCUUACUUUCACUACAGGAAUGAGUUUGGUAUGUGCUAGGAUGCCAUAAACAAUGCACUAAUAUGCUUACUGAAAUAAAGUUUUCAUAGAACAAUAGUAUAAUGUCUGUUCUACUUGUGAAACCAGUGGAACCAAGUCUAUCCCACGAUUACUUAUCAGAACAUUUAUUUCAAAACAAUUUGUAUUUUCUGAGCAAGGCAUGUUUCAUAAGUCAAAGCAUAAUUAUUGUCAAAGAAUCACAAAUUUAUUUGGGCACUAAGUAGCAAACAAAAAUUCUCAGAGGGUAUAAAGAGAAGAGUGUGAAGCUCUCUAUAUAUUCUCUUACCAAGUGGCAGGUGAGGGAAAGUCAUGAAGAGUAAAGUUAUAUUUAUUACUUAACAAAAAUAUACAAUCUUACAACAGCUUUGAAAUGGACACAUUCGAAUGCCCCUCCAAUUGCUAUCAAGUAUAUGAUGUCAACAUUAUAAUUAUAGAGCCAUGGUAAUACCGUUAGUUGAGAGCAUUAAAAAUGGUUGUUUUGGUCAUAGUACACAAUCUUAAAUUAGAAUUGUAUGAAGUAAUUUGUUUUGCCUGCCUCUUUUAAAGAAUUAAAUAUUAUUUUAUCAAAAUGUAUAACUAAAGUGAAAGCUGUUGUUGCCAUACUGUCCUCUUUGGCAAUCAACUAAAUCUCAAAUUAUCCAAUAACCUAAACCUACAAAUUUCCAAGCACUAUGCUAGGAUCCUCAGUUUGUCAUCAGACAAUGGGCGUAUUGAUUUUAAUCUUGUUAAACUUAUAAGAUAAAAUUGUGAACUUAUGAUCAGGGAGCAUAGCCUCCAUUCAUCCUUUAUCUAAAUAAAAACCAGAUAUGUUACCAAAUAAUCAUAAUUUCACAUAAAAGAUACUACAAAAGAGAUACAGGGAAAGUGAGAAAAUGCCAUGAAUUAAUUCUUCUAAGAAUCAGAGAUGGCCUCAGUGAAUGGGGAUAUUAGUCUGUGAUUUAUAGGAGGUUGUCAGUAAGACAAGAGCAGGAGAAAGGCAAUUGAGGCAAAGGAUUUUUCUUGGAAAGGCACUAAGGUAUGGUCAUGCAGAAUAUGUUCGGAGAAUUUCCUAGUCUUGGGUGGCUAGAUCAUAGAAUAGGUGGAAGGAGAGGAUGAAGGUGACAUUAGAAUUGGAUUGUGUUGGGCCAAAACGUCAUACUAAGGAAUUCACAUUUUAUCCCAAAGUAAUGGAAAACCAAAAGAAACUCUAAAGCAAGUAUGAAAUGAACACAUAUAUUCUGACAUCGGCAUGUAGAACAGGUGAGGCUGGAGAGACAGGAUCAAGGAGCCAGAAAUAAGGCCACCACUUGAACAGAAAUGAGAGGAGUAAUUGUGUAAUGGAAAAUGGAUUACAUAUCACUCAAACUUUAUGAUGAAUGCCAGCAUUUUAGAUCUGCUCUUUGAGAGAUGUAUUUGAAUAAUUCAGUUAGCGUAGUCUCUACAGGGCAUUUUCAAUUCUGUGUAUGGUUUAUUCUUAGAGUGGCCAGAAGGUAUUAUUCUAUUCACAAUGCAACCUUUUCCAAAAUAAAGAGCAAUGGCUUUUUCCCUCACAUUUGCUUUUCUGCUAAAAGAAACAUUAGACCUAGUUUUACUUAUGAGUGAAAAAUAUAUUGUUCUCAUUUAUGGAGGAGUAUUACAUAUUAUAUGAUGUAUUGGUUAGAAAAUUACGCACUUGAAAAUAUACAAAAAUAGAAUGAUGCCUUUACCCUUUCCAUUUUGCAUGCAAGAAAGGAAGGGAUUUUUGUUCUCUUCUCUCCAUGGCACCGUAGAAACACCAUAAACUGUGAGGGAAGGAGUUUUGACACCGUACUACAUUAUGUUUACACUGAGGAGAGAGUAGGCAAAAUGCAGGAAUCCAAAGUCAAGGAAGAAAUAGAAAUGUAUCAGAUUGUUGGAGUAACAUGUCAAUUGAGAUAUCUCCUUCUGUUAAGAGUACACAUGUAUCAAUCUGUUUAGUUUUCAACUGAUAAAUGCACAUGGGGCAUCAUGAAAAUAAUAUUAUUCCACAUGCAGAUUUAAGGAUCUUACUUAAUAAAUGAUGCCUGUGAUUAGCAUUUAUCUUAAUGCUAAUGAUACAGAUUUAUGAAUCUAUUUGCCUAGACUGCCGAAUUGAUGAAUGUUACCCUGAAGAGUUUUCAAAUGAGAACAUAAUCCAAACCAAUGUUAAAUAGAUAACAUUAUUUUGCAUUCUCCAGAAUAAAAUGAGAGGGAUAGCAUUUAAGAACACACAUGAUAGAUGCAUAUUUGACACCAAGAAAAUAUACUAGAGUAUAAUAGUCAGAAUUUUAUGUAAUUUUUCUUGUGAGAGAGAUUAAUUAUCAGAAUGCACAGAGGAAGAUAAAUACAGAUUAGGUAAUGUUGUAAACAAAUUCACAAUUGCUGAACCACUCUAAGCUUUAUUUUCAUAACCAAGCAGCCAGCACUGAGCUUCUGCUUCCAAUUAGUCAGAAAAAGAAUUAACCUUUAACUAUUAUAUUCCAAAAGUGAGCUAGGUAGAAAUUAUUCAUAGAAGAUGAAAACAAAUAAAAUGAGUAUAAUUUAAACAAGUGAUGUAAUCCAGUUUGAAAAGUCAUAACACUUCUAUGUGUUCCAUUAUCUCAUUUUUCCUACCUCUCUGUUUAUGCUUAUGCUUGAGAAUAGUUUUGUUUGCUUGAUUUUGACCUCCACUUUCUUUUGCAUUAGCUGUACUUCUCUAUUAUCAAUAUUGAACUAAAAGGCAAGCACUUUCUAACUAGUAUUCAGUUCAGUUGGAAACAGGAUCUGGUGAUCAAUGAGAACUUCAGAAAAUAAAAACAAAAGAAAGCAUAACAGAAAUCACUACACAAUAAAGGGGCUGUACACUGUAAAUAUUAAAAUUUUAGUAGAAACAUUCCCACAAGAGUGGGGAAUUGCCUUAGUCAGAUCAGGCUGCUGUAACAGAAUACCAGAGAGUGCGUGGCAACAGAAACUUACUUCUCACUAAGUUCUGGAGGCUGGAAAUCCAAAAUCAGGGUGCCAGCAUGGUUGAGUUCUUCCAGAUUGCAGACUGUCGACUUCUCAUUGUAUCUUCACAUGGCAGAGAACAGAGAGAGGAAGCAAGCUUUCUCAACUCUUAUAAGGGCACUAAUCCCAUUCAAGAGAGCUCCAACCUCAUGAACGCAUCUAAUCCUAUCUCCCAAAGGCCCCAUCUCCUUACCAUCACAUGGCAGGUAGGGUUUCGACAUACACAUUUUGUGAAGACACAAACAUUCAGUCAAUACCAGCAGUCAUAUUUAAAUGAAUAAAUACAAUUAAAUAUGGAGGAGGAUUUACUCAAAUAACGUGUCACAAAAGUGAAGAAAAAAAUACUACGUAUACCAUGUAUUUUAUUGGGUAUGUAUUCAUAUAGGAGUGUGUGUGUGUAUUUGUGUCUGUGUGUGAUCAACUUUUUUCUCUCAGAUACGUUCUCUUUUUUAAAAGAUAUAAUCAAAAGCCUGAAUUUUUCUUCAGAAAACACUUGUUUCAGACCAAGGAGGGUUACAUGAGAAUGCUUCAUAGUACAUUAUAAAAUAUAAAAAGCAAAACUUUCAUUAAAGACCAUAGAGUGUUCAAAGUGCUUCAUCUCAUCAAAAUAAUUACGGCUAACAUUCUGAGCUACAUAUUCGUAAGCAUCAGCUACGUAUUUUUAUUUAGCCUCAUUCAGUUUCUCAGAAAUUUGAGCUGGCCCUUAGAUUUUGAACUGUUUUAAAUAUCACACUUUAUUAUUUGCUAUUCCAAAGGAGCAAGAAUAAUGAAGCUCCAAGUAUAACAAAUUUAGUUUUUAUGAUAUGAUGAAAUAUGCAUUAUUAUUUUUCUUUACUUCCAUAAUAAGGAAUAUUUUCAAUUGUAUAAUUAAAUAAACAAUUUAAAAUUAUUCAGCAGGCAGGCAGAUAAGCUUUUAUUCCUCGGUUUGUGUAACACUUCAAUUGAAAAACCAAACAGAAUAUUUUAUUUCUUCUUCAGUCCUCAACAUUUUUAGCAUAAAAUUAUUAAGGAGAUUUCCUCAUUAAGGACAAAUCAGUGAAAAAUUUAACCUCCUAUUAACUAUGGCCAUUGAAUGUCUUGUAGUGUAGAGUGUUGCAUGAAAACUGGAUUUUGAUUCAUUUUACAGUGAAACUCCCUUAAAAUCAUAAAACCUUACCUCAUCAACCAACAAUAAUUUUUACGGAUCUCGAAAAAUAAAAGCUCUGAUUUAUUGUAUAUUUGAACCAGGAAACAGUCUACAUAAUCAGUAAAAAGACAAUAAACAUACUUCGCUCUAUCAGCCAACAUCUGUGACAGAAUGCAGACUACCACUCACAAAUACAAAAGACUGAAAAAGAAUGUCCGUCAAAGGUUAACUACAAUAAUUUUUAUUUUCUAUUAUUAUAGUUUCUUUUACUUCCCCCAAAGGGAAAUGUUCUCUGUCAACCAUGUCAGCACAGAUUUAAUCCAGAUUUAAUACCUGAUUCCAAUGACAUCUGAUAUACAGAAGGGAAAAACUAUGUAGCUCUGGUUGUCAGUAAAGAAUACUCUGAUCAACCUCUGAUCUAGUGGAAAUACAAAUGAUAGAUGGUGAUUCAUUUUAAGAUAGUGAAAUAAAAGCAUUUAUAAUUCACUCCUCUCCUGUGAAAUUCCUCCCAAAAUAACAUAAAUAAUGAAAAAUUGGGAAAAACAAAAUAAAAACUAUGUAAUUAUAAGAAAUUAACAACAAAUGACGAUAAAUAGCUUUCAAAUAAUGAGACAUUUGCACUAUUAGAGAAAGGAAAUUGACUGACACAUAUCUUGGACAGGAUAUAGAUUUCACUAAGUUUCACAGUCCUGAGGCAUCCUCCCAAGACUUUGCUUGAGGUUGCCAUGAGAUGGGCAUGGAUAGGCAGGCGGAAAACAAAUUUGUCUUCAUAAGAUUCUAGGUACAUAUUCCCAAAUAGUAGAAAAUGGGGGUAAAGAACAAAUUGCUGAUAGACUAUAUAUGAUAGUUGUGAAACAGCCCGCUGGAUAAUAGAGAUGACUAGCAUUAUAGUGGGAAAGGGGAGGCAGAGGCAGUGUCAAUCACUAGCGUAUUAACAAUACAGAGAAAGUAAAACUAGGGAGCUUUACCUCUGUGAGCCACAUAGAUCACCCAAAAGUAAAAAAUAAGGAAAAAAUAUGGUCCCUGGGCAGAAGAUGAAACAUAUUUGGGGAGGUGGGCUUGAAAACUGAAAUUUAAAUAGCUACUGUGGGCCGAUCUGAUUCAUUCUCCCACCACUUCCCACACUGUAGUUCAGUAAAUAGCUGGCUUCAUUCAGUGAUUAAUAGAAAAAAACCAUCCUGGAACAUAGGCAAAGGAGGCAGAAACACAAUGAAAAAGUAGCUGAAGUUUUUACCAAAGAAAAUUUUUUUUUCAGGAAACAUAGGAAAAGUUUAUAUAAAUAGUUCUUUAUAGUCUCAAAUAAAUUAUAGACAUGAUCUCAUUAAUAGAGUGAGAAGCUCAAAAAAAUAUAUAAUGUUUCAAUAAAGAGAUUAUAAAAAC